rnacentral:rRNA from 1 species
GACGUAGGAUCCGAGCGUUGUCCGGAGUUACUGGGCGUAAAGCGCGCGCAGGCGGACACGCGCAUCGGCGGUGAAAGCCCCCGCGUCAACCGGGGAGGGUCCGUCGGAGAUGGCGUGUCUGGAGGCAGGGAGAGGCCAGUGGAAUUCCGGGUGUGAGUGGUGAAAUGCGUAGAGAUCCGGAGGAACACCAGUGGCGAAGGCGGCUGGCUGGACCUGACCUG